CAGAGAGAGGCAGUCUGAAGGCCCAUCAAUUAACUCCGCUUUAAGAUCUGCCAAGGAAAAGAUGCAUUGCAUUCAGGGAAUAUAAGAGGAGCAUAAAAAUACUUCCAUAAAAGAGUCAAUUUUCCUGCAAUCAUUAAUAUUCUACAUGAAUGUAUCUGGGUGGCCAAGGAGAUGGAGCCAUAAUGGAUGGAGCUAAAAUCUUUCUCUCUCUCGCUCUGCCUUGUGAGGACACAGCAAGAAGAAAGCCAUCUGCAAGCUCGGAAGAGAGAUUUCACCAGGAACCCAAUCAGUCAGCACCUUGAUCUUGGACCUCUCAGACUUCAGAACUGUGAAAAAUAAAGAUCUGUUGCUUAA